GAGAGACCCCGAGCUGCAGGUGGACAUGUGUGCACGUGUCUGCAGAGCAAGGAGCCUUCCUUCCCUCUCCUCCAAGCGGCUCCACAUUCCCUCGUGUUUUCUCAUCCCCCUCCUCAGCCUGAGAGGUGUCGUUUCCGUAAAUUCACCCAGCCGGCGGGGGGCUUUAUUGUUUUAAGCAAGGGCCUCGGGCUUGCACGCGCUCACCCACCUCCCAGCUUCUCCGGCAAGCGGCUGUUUUUUUUCCUGCGUCGUCUUAGGAAAGUUUCAAACCUAUUACAAAAUGACUGGCUCGCCUAGCUCGGUGAAGCUUCGGGCCCCUCUAAGCAAGGAAAGGAGGUUUUGAUACCCAACACGAGGAGAGGUGUGGGCUGAACUGGGUUUGUGUAAAUGGGGUUUGUUGUUGUUAUUGUUUCCCUCCAGUUUGAGGGGGGGGGGGAGGACCUCAAAUUCUUUUUAAGAAGCAGGAAGAUUCACUCGCAGUAAAGCUCUGUGGCGUGUGCGUGACACCAUUUCCCCUUUUCUCUGAGUUCUUCAGAGCAGGUCAGCGUCUCUUCCACUACUGUCUGGGUUUUUGUCUUGUUAAAUCAGUCUACGAGCUACCAAAAGAAUGCUACGGCUGGGGUUGGAGGGUAGGUGGGACACUGAGUUGGAUGGCUGGAGGGAAGGUAAGGAAAGGGAAGAAGAAAGUGCAACUGGGAGGCCUUUGAAAAAUAAAUAAAUAAAAUAAAAGCCCCUUCAGGUAACAACGGUGAGUCAGGUUCUUUAAGAAUGGAGCUUUUCAGAUUUGAAUCUUGUUCCCAUCCAUCCAUAAAAGUUCAUAUAGAGAGAAGAUAUAUAAAUGGGAGGAUUGUGUUGUGGAAAUAUAUACUGUAUAUGUGUGAUUUAUAUAUAAUGGUGUGUAUAAAGCUUUUCAGGGUUGGCUGUAGUGUAAAAAGUAAUGACUUUAUUACCUCUGAAAGGUUCUGUGGUUCACAUUUAACAGUCUUCUGAAUUACAAUUCAUUACACAAUUGUGUUCUCUAAAACCGGCACCCUAUCAGGGCUGCUAUCUGUGGUUAUUUCCAAUAAAUAACUGGCAACAUUUUAUUGAUUUUCUUUA
rnacentral:lncRNA from 1 species